rnacentral:rRNA from 1 species
CCUACGGGGGGCAGCAGUGAGGAAUAUUGGUCAAUGGACGAGAGUCUGAACCAGCCAAGUAGCGUGAAGGAUGACUGCCCUAUGGGUUGUAAACUUCUUUUAUAUGGGAAUAAAAUGUUCCACGUGUGGGAUUUUGUAUGUACCAUAUGAAAAAGGAUCGGCUAACUCCGUGCCAGCAGCCGCGGUAAUACGGAGGAUCCGAGCGUUAUCCGGAUUUAUUGGGUUUAAAGGGAGCGUAGGUGGAUUGUUAAGUCAGUUGUGAAAGUUUGCGGCUCAACCGUAAAAUUGCAGUUGAAACUGGCAGUCUUGAGUACAGUAGAGGUGGGCGGAAUUCGUGGUGUAGCGGUGAAAUGCUUAGAUAUCACGAAGAACUCCGAUUGCGAAGGCAGUUCACUGGACUGCAACUGACACUGAGGCUCGAAAGUGUGGGUAUCAAACAGGAUUAGAUACCCCUGUAGUC